UAAGAUUUUUUUUCCAGUUAAAUUGAUAUGUGAAUGCAUGAUUGAGUUUGUUUUGUCUAUUAUCCAUAUUUUGUAUUAAUGAACUUUAGUUAUUGGGUUAUUAGUGGACUUUAACUUGAUUGGGUACAUAAAAAUUAAACGAAAGGUUAACUGAACUAAAAAAGAAAAAAAAGUUCUUUUAUUGUUUUUCUCUCAGCCGACUAAACCUAAUUUUCUU
rnacentral:lncRNA from 1 species